AUGAACGCUAGCGGCAGGCUUAACACAUGCAAGUCGAGGGGUAUAAGUCUUCGGAUUUAGAGACCGGCGCACGGGUGCGUAACGCGUAUGCAAUCUACCUUUCACAGAGGGAUAGCCCAGAGAAAUUUGGAUUAAUACCUCAUAGUAUAGCUGAACCGCAUGGUUCUACUAUUAAAGUCACAACGGUGAAAGAUGAGCAUGCGUCCCAUUAGCUAGUUGGUAAGGUAACGGCUUACCAAGGCUACGAUGGGUAGGGGUCCUGAGAGGGAGAUCCCCCACACUGGUACUGAGACACGGACCAGACUCCUACGGGAGGCAGCAGUGAGGAAUAUUGGUCAAUGGACGCAAGUCUGAACCAGCCAUGCCGCGUGCAGGAUGACGGUCCUAUGGAUUGUAAACUGCUUUUGCACAGGAAGAAACAACUCUACGUGUAGAGUCUUGACGGUACUGUGAGAAUAAGGAUCGGCUAACUCCGU
rnacentral:rRNA from 1 species